rnacentral:piRNA from 1 species
AUAUGGACGUGGUUUAAGUUGCUAAC